rnacentral:lncRNA from 1 species
AUUUUUUUGUAUUUUUUGUAGAGAUGGAGUUUCGCCAUGUUGCCCAAGCUGGUCUCCAACUCCAGGACUAAAGCGAUCUGCCUGCCUCAGAUUCCCAAAGUGCUGAGAUUACAGGGGUGAGCCACCACACUUGGCUAAGUCCUCCAAUCUGUAAAUAUGAAUCUUGCCAGGCUGGAGUCCAGUGACAUGUUCUCAGCCCACUGCAACAUCCACCUCCCAAGUUCAAGCGAUUCUCGUGCCUGUCUCCCGAGUAGCUAGGACUAGAGACAUUUGCCAUCACGCCUGGCUAAUUUUUGUAUUUUUGGUAGAGACAGUGUUUUGCCAUGUUGGCCAGGUUGGUCUUGAAUUCCUGGCCUCAAGUAAUCUACUCGCCUCGGCCUCCCCAAGUACUGAAAUUACAGGUGUGAGCCACUGUGCCUGGCCUGAUCUGUAUGCUUUUUAUUUCCUUUUCUUGUAUUAUGGCACCGGUUUAGAUAUUCCAAUUUGAUUUUGUCAAAUGCUUUUUCUGCAUCAACUGAUAUGAUUAUGUGAUUCUUCUUCUUUAGUCUGUUAAUAGGGUAAAGUACAUUAGUUGAUUUUUGAAUAUUGGAUCAGCCUUUCAUCCUUGGAAUAAACUCCAAC